rnacentral:tRNA from 1 species
GGGUUGGUGGAAGGAUGGUCUAAACUGUUGGCUUUAGACCACUAUGACCCGGGUUCGAUUCCCGCAUUGGACA